GCCAGUGUUACUUGAGGUGGGCGCCAUGAGCUCGCUGACACCGGAGUCUCUGGAGGGCCCCAGGAGCCUGCGUUGUGAGUAACGCCCCCAGCGAGUCUCAUGCGCAGCGGUCUGGGAGCCAGUAAGUUCCGGGCGCAGGUGGUUUGGCAACUGGUGAGUUUCAGGUGCAGGUGGUUUGGGAGCCGGUGAGUCUCAGGCCCAGGCGGUUUGGGAACCGGUGAGUCUCGGGCCCAGGCGGUUUGGGAACCCCUGAGUCUCAAGUGCAGGCGGUUUGGGAACCGGUGAGUCUCAGGCGCAGGCGGUUUGGGAACUGGUGAGUCUCAGGCUCAGGCAGUUUGGGAACUCUUGGUUCCACGUGAAUCCACUCAUCCGCUCUGUGCCUCUCACCUGUCAAACAAGUUCCUCAUCAGACACAAGCAGCCCAGACGACUUUUCCAUCCUGGGAAGAAGCGGGUGAGCCUCCAGGAUCCUGCCCAAGAUAGGACCCUAGUGCGGAGGCCAGUUGAAGAGGAGCCCUGAGGGAGGGCCUCUGACUUUGAUCCAGGUGCCCGGAACAGACCGAAAUUACCGGACAGUAGCAACCGCAGAGAUGCUCAGAUGCAGGGAUGUCGGCCAGUGAGGCUCGCCCAGGUGGCCACUCAUGAUUUUCCCACUUCACAAUCAUUGCAUCUAAGAGCACUUCAUGGAAACACUGAAGCCAGGGUGAUUACUGUCAGUGUGGUUCCUUGACUUGCCCUCCGCUGUCCACUGCCCUCAGGCCCAUGUGACAACCGCAACUGCCGGCGCCCGGGCACACAGCCGACUUAGCGCCGUCCGGAAGCAGAGCACGUGCUUCGUAAAAAAUGAAAUGACUCUCUGCACUCUGAAAUCUUUGAACAUGUGCAUCUCCUGAGGCUUGGCUGUGGUUUUAACUUCUAUAUGCCUUAAAUUUCCCAACAAACGAAUAAAAUUAUGAAUAUAAAAAUAAAUGGAAAAGCGCUA
rnacentral:lncRNA from 1 species